GGGGACGUGGCUCAGAGAUAGAGCAUCUGAUUGGGAUGCAGAAGGUUGCAGGUUCAAUUCCUCAUGUCUCCA
rnacentral:tRNA from 1 species